AGACGAGGGCGAAAGCCGUAGUCGAUGGGAAUCAGGUUAAUAUUCCUGAACCUGUUGGUAGUGACGGAUGACGUAAGUUGUACAUGCUUAACGGAUUGUGUGUGCAGUGAAGUUGUCCCAGGAAAUAGCUCCAACAUUAAGACCGUACCCCAAACCGACACAGGUGGUCAGGUAGAGAAUACUAAGGCGCUUGAGAGAACUCGGGUGAAGGAACUCGGCAAAAUGACACCGUAACUUCGGGAGAAGGUGUGCCUUUUGUAUGUGAAAGCCCUGCGGCUGGAGCAGAAGAAGGUUGCAAUAAAAUGGUGGCUGCGACUGUUUACUAAAAACACAGCACUCUGCAAACUCGUAAGAGGACGUAUAGGGUGUGACGCCUGCCCGGUGCUUGAAGGUUAAUUGAUGGGGUUAUCUUCGGAGAAGCUCUUGAUCGAAGCCCAAGUAAACGGCGGCCGUAACAAUAACGGUCCUAAGGUAGCG
rnacentral:rRNA from 11 species